UUUCAGGCAGUUUAUAGAAAACAUUGUUUCCUUGGCUUGUAAAACGAGCCCAUUUGAUAUGAGGAAAGUCACUGCAAGGCUCACAAUGAGACUCUUUUGCCAUCUGCGUUCUGUGAUUCUAUCGGCAAUCGCUUGUGAAGUGACACUGCUCUGGAUGCCAUGGCAACAGCAUACUGCGGAGGGGAGGGAGACAGGGAGAGAGAAAUGGCUCACUAGUGAUGAAGCACCACUGGCACCUGCAGGAAAGGGGGAGGAAGUGCAGCCUACACGCAACCAGCACCCUCACACUACUUUUCCCUGCAACGUGCUUUUCUGGGCCCUACUUAGCAGGCGGGGCCUCCUGUUUCAGCUGGCUUCUACGAUCCAGCUUGCUCAUAACCUGGGUGAUGUCCACAUUGGCUGCUGCUUCUUUUGCCUUGGCUUCUUCUUCCUGCUGUCUUAGGAUGACAGGGCUGGGGCUGGAUCGGAGAACUUUGCGAGCAAAUGGAUUAUUAGAGCUAAAGAGAAACAGAGAGGGGGGGAAUAGAGGGUUACUGUGGAUGAAGUAAAAGGCAGAAUGUAGUUUUAAGUGAGGGUGGAUGAAGAGGCAAGGAAGACAGGACAGAACCUUGAGAAACCACAUCAAACCAGAUUUGUGUAGAUGGAUUAAUCAAAGCUGUUUACAAAAUUAAUUAUCCAGGGAUAACAUUCCCUAAACACACUGAUUUGCUUAUACAGAUCAGAGAUUAAUCAGAGCUUGAAUCCAAUUCAAAGGGAAAGAGAAACCGCUGGAAAGAUCAGGGGUUUGUUGUCCUGACUGUCUUCAUUUCAAGCCAGGAAGCUGUCUGGAGGAUGAAUUAUACUCCAAAAGUAGUUAUGGGCAAAGAUGGCUCCAUUUGCCAAGGCUAUUAACAACCUCAGAGGUGUACAGGAGCAUUUGAAAACCUCACUGGUGGCAGCCAGCUGUUUAGGAGUCAAAGCGGCUGGAAGCGUGUGGGGGAUAGAGGAUAAUCUUACCCAGCAGCACAAGAGAACAUCUAUUCUCCAUAUUAGAUAAGCAUUAUGAAAACGACUGGUUAAAUUAAUGCCCAUGUGGUUAGAAUUCACAACAAAGCUGGGGCCAAUGAAGUCUUUUUCUCAGAUGCCAAAGCACCCAAUAAGGACUAAGAAAGAGGUUCUUGUCCUAGAAAGAGCUAAAAAUAUAAUUCAUUCCUCUCCAUUUUUCAAGUGCAUGUUUUAGCUUGUCUUAUUAAAAGUUCUGUGCUUCCUGAACGCUGUAGUUUGAUAUACGAGCAUGAGUCAUCUGGAGCUAUUGUGCUAUAAGCACUUUUGCACUGUGUCUUCCCUAUAUGUGGUCCACUGUGAUUGAUGUUGCAU